rnacentral:rRNA from 1 species
GUCCUUUUGAAAUUAAUUUAAGGUCGGGCCUGCUCCCUGCUCAAAAGUAAAUAGCUGCAGUAUAAAUGACUGUACUAAGGUAGCAUAAUAAUUUGUCUUUUAAAUGAAGACUGGCAUGAACGGUCUGACGAGGAUUCAUCUGUCUCAAUUAUACUAAUCGAACUUAGAAUGAUGGUGAAAAUCCCUUCAUGAAGGAGGGGGACGACAAGACCCUUUAGAUCUAAAAAAAGGAGAAAAUUAAAUAUUAGAUUAAAUUUUAUUUCUUACAUUUGUUUGGGAAGAACCUUUGAUGAAAACUUCAGAUUAAAAAAAGAUCAGUAAAUCGAAAAAAAAAAAUGGAUUAGAUCAAUAAUCUAAGAUUAGAAACUUAGAUACCUAAGGGAUAACAGCGUUAUCUGGUAUUCUAGACCGUAUAUUAUACUACGCUUGCGACCUCGAUGUUGAAUUAGGUUAAAAUAUUAAAGAAGAAAAUAAUAAUUUUUAGUCUGUUCGACUAUUAAAAACCU